rnacentral:rRNA from 1 species
GGACUACUGGGGUAUCUAAUCCUGUUUGCUACCCACGCUUUCGUGCCUCAGCGUCAGAAGUGGUCCAGUAAGCUGUCUACACCACAGGUGUUCCUCCUGAUAUCUACGCAUUUCACCGCUACACCAGGAAUUCCGCUUACCUCUCCCACCCUCAAGCACUCCAGUUUCCGCUGCACCCUCCCAGUUAAGCCGGGAGAUUUCACAACAGACUUAGAGCACCGCCUACGCACUCUUUACGCCCAGUAAUUCCGAACAACGCUUGCUGCCUACGUAUUACCGCGGCGGCUGGCAC